rnacentral:lncRNA from 1 species
CAGGGCACAAGCUUGUGUGACACACAGCCCAGGGGAAUGCAGAGGCUCCAGGAAAUGUGGAAUGUAUGUUUUGGAGGCCACGCUCACUGCAGAGCUUGGAAUCACACACUCCUGGGCAUGGGGGCCUUCUCUGUGUUCUCCAACACGCAGCAUCGUGCUAGACACAGAACACACACUCUGUAAAUACCUGUUGGCCAAAUGAAGCAGAAAACAAUGGUAACAUGGAGCACCCUCUGCCAAACUGUGACUGUUGGAAGAGCACUCUCGAAAAUACAUCAUCUCUUAAAGCCAGGCACAGCUAUAUGGCUCUCGCUUGUCCCAGAUCCCCAGAUGACACAGACACACUUACAGCCCCACAGUUGGGCAUUUCACAGAUGAAGGAGCCUGAGGGCUGGCCCAGGGCCUGCAGGGGCGGCCCCUCCGUGGGAGCCAGGACGGGGACGGGUGGUGGCUCCGGGGACUUCGGCACCUCACUCUCUUCUUCUUUUGUGGAUUUCCUAUCUUCUUCCGGGUCCUCCUCCUCCUCCUCCUCUAACUCUUCUUCUUCUUCACUUGUCUAGUGUUAAGGUAAUAAAAGCAAGAGAGGAAAAUCCCCAAAUGGCAUUCUUAGUGAUGAACAGAACUCACAGAUCAACAGAGGAGAGAGGGGCUGGAUGCUGGCGCUGUGUUCCUUUCUUUCUGCAUAAGGAAUGGUGGACAGAGCCUGUUAGGCGUGAUCCUCAAAAGAGGCAUUUAAUGAAAAAGAACAAGAAAAACAUUUCCUAUGAAUAAUGAUCUCCUCUGCUUCUAUGGCCACUCUCCCCACUUCAGAACAGCAGCCAUGUGGAGAAUUAAGCAGAAGGUCCCUGCCCUCCUCAAGGUUAAC